CUGGAGCCGAGCGCCACACAGUGGACAGGGACUCCGCGGUGACAGACAUGCCGCGUGGGAAUCCCUGGUGUCCAUCAAAGGCGGGUGGCCACCCUCUCACAGCUGUCGAAAUGAAAUUCGGCGGGAGCGGAGAGGACGAGGGGCGGCGGGAGAACAGGGUCCGGCAAAGGGGUCACCCAAAGCGUCACCAGGGAGGGACCGUUAACCCCGCGUGAAGGUGAGGAGUUGGGCGCCAACCAGAAUAACCAGGUAGGUAGGAAGCGCCUGGGAUCCGAGUGGCGGCCGCUUCCCUGAUCCUUGCCCAGAAGGCACACACUGAGGGAAGUCCCUUAGUCCCUCGGCUUUCAUCCCACAAAACUUCGAUUUUCAGGUUAAACUCUUAAACUUAAGGCCUCUCUAGGUUUCAUAUGAGGGGAUGUGACCCAGUUUAACAGUUAUGCAGAACCAAUGAUAGAGCACGUAGAUUGACACCCUGUAAUUAAAAAACAGGACUUUCUAAGGCAAAAAGUAAUUUUCUACUGAAAAAGAAUUAUUGUUCUGGAAAGAUGUACCCACAUGUUCACAAAAAGAAUAAAAGAUCACUUUGGCAUGUUUCUCCCAUGAUUAAUAGUGGUCUGUCUUUUCUGGGAGGGGUAUAGGUACUAUUUGGUUACUUUAAAAAUAUAUAUAUAUAUAUAGUUGUAGAUGGAUACAAUGACUGUAUUGUUUUAUUUUUAUGUGGUGUG
rnacentral:lncRNA from 1 species